rnacentral:rRNA from 1 species
AUUGAACGCUGGCGGAAUGCUUUACACAUGCAAGUCGAGCGGCAGCGCGGGGCAACCUGGCGGCGAGCGGCGAACGGGUGAGUAAUGUAUCGGAACGUGUCCUGAGAUGGGGGAUAGCCCGGUGAAAACCGGAUUAAUACCGCAUACGAUCGAGAGAUGAAAGUGGGGGACCGCAAGGCCUCACGUCUUAGGAGCGGCCGAUAUCAGAUUAGCUAGUUGGUGAGGUAAAGGCUCACCAAGGCUCCGAUCUGUAGCUGGUCUGAGAGGAUGAUCAGCCACACUGGGACUGAGACACGGCCCAGACUCCUACGGGAGGCAGCAGUGGGGAAUUUUGGACAAUGGGGGCAACCCUGAUCCAGCCAUUCCGCGUGAGUGAAGAAGGCCUUCGGGUUGUAAAGCUCUUUUGUCCGGGAAGAAACGGUUUUGGUUAAUAACCAAGACUACUGACGAUACCGGAAGAAUAAGGACCGGCUAACUACGUGCCAGCAGCCGCCGUAACAC